CUCGGUGUUCCAGAGACUUCCUGCUGACAGUCACCAUGUCAGACAGGGAGGAGGAGGAGGCCCCGGAAGGGAGGGAGCCAGCAUGCCUGCUGUGUCAGCGAUCAGAGGCUGACCCGGACAUCUGUGGAGAUAAAAUCCAGAAACGGGGGCUCUGUGCCCACGUGUUCUGCCUGUUUUUUGCCAGCCUCCUUGAUCAGCAAGAGAAUGAACGAGUAGGACUCCUGGGCUUUCUCCCAAGGGAUAUCCUACAUGCAGUCAACCGGGC